UAAAAUUUUAAGUUAAUGAAACUUUUAACUUUCAAAGUUAAAUAUAUAUAUGUUAUAUAUAAAUUUUAA
rnacentral:tRNA from 1 species